rnacentral:lncRNA from 1 species
GGACUGUGUGAUUUUUGUUCUUUAGUAGAAGGAUAACAUGACAUAGCAGGAAUAAUACUGCCUUUUCUUUCUGGCAUGGAUCAAGAGAAAAGAAAAUACAAGAAAACAGACAGAAGCAAGGCAAGGUACUUCUAUGGAAGGGUGAGCCCUCACAGAUGGAGCAAUGGGGCGCGCACACCUGAACAAGGGAGGGGAAGGAGUUCUUAUCCCUGAUGCAUGUGACCCCUGCUGCUGUGUCCUUCCCCUAUUGGCUAAGGCUUCUGACAGCUUUGGAGAUUGUGACAUUGGAAUAAAGGAAAAACGUACAGGACUCAUGAAGCGCUGAAAUGUUCACAAAUAUCAAGCAAAAGUCAAUGAAAUUUAUUUUGAGCUAUUUACAUCAUUUAAUAAUUGAGCAAGGUAUACUCCUAUGAACAAAAUUUGGAGCAUGUUUGUCUCUCUCUGCCUGGCGUCUUCAGAAUUUGGAAACUAGUUAGUCAUGGAAAUUUAUUUUGAGCUAUUUACAGCAUUUAAUAAUUGAGCAAGGUAUACUCCUAUGAACAAAAUUUGGAGCAUGUUUGUCUCUCUCUGUCUGCCUGGCAUCUACAGAAUUUGGAAACUAGUUUCGUUCCCAGAUUUCCUAAACUUUCCAGAGAAAAUGGUCUUCUCCCUGGCUCAGCAAGAAGAUGAACUUUAAACACUGAGAAACUGGUCAUCUCCCUGGCUCAACCAGAAGAUGAACUUUAAACACUACUCUCAAUGACUUGAUGUUCCCAUCACUACUCCUGUCAUAAAGGGAGGGGACUCAGAUAUUGAGAAUUUUAUGAUAGUGUGAACUGUCUGCUGUCAGCCAGGAGGGCAGAGCUGAAAUUUAUUGCCACAUCACAUGAAGCAUAGAACAGACUCCACUACUCCUUGAGAUUCAAAACUUUGCCUCUCACAAAGUUACCUUUUAUUUUCCUCUUGUUUGUCACUCAUCUCCCCUAGUGUGCUCUUUUUAUUUCUUUUACUAUUAAUAAUAAAAUCUGUGGAUGACUGUA